CUACGGGGUGCUCCAGUGGGGAAUUUUGGACAAUGGGCGAAAGCCUGAUCCAGCAAUGCCGCGUGUGCGAAGAAGGCCUUCGGGUUGUAAAGCACUUUUGUCAGGGAAGAAAUCGUUUGGGUUAAUACCCCGAGCAGUUGACGGUACCUGAAGAAUAAGCACCGGCUAACUACGUGCCAGCAGCCGCGGUAAUACGUAGGGUGCAAGCGUUAAUCGGAAUUACUGGGCGUAAAGCGUGCGCAGGUGGUUUGUUAAGACAGUUGUGAAAUCCCCGGGCUUAACCUGGGAACUGCAAUUGUGACUGGCAGACUAGAGUGAGGCAGAGGGGGGCGGAAUUCCUGGUGUAGCAGUGAAAUGCGUAGAUAUCAGGAGGAACACCGAUGGCGAAGGCAGCCCCCUGGGCCAUCACUGACACUCAUGCACGAAAGCGUGGGGAGCAAACAGGAUUAGAUACCCUGGUAGUC
rnacentral:rRNA from 1 species